rnacentral:rRNA from 1 species
AUGGCUUUGGUGAUCCCAUAUGUUUUCAGAAGCACAGUACACAAGCUAUGCCACUCGCACAUUAUGAAGAUGUACAGGGAACACCUCGUGUACGUGUACAACCUCCACGAAACCUUUAAGGAUGAAUUCACAACAAUCCUCAACUGGCCCCUCAUGCCAAUUGAGUUUGAGGCUGCCUGGAAAGCACUCAUGGAUAAGUACAACCUCCAUGACGAUGCCACGAUGGUGUUAAUGUGGAAUGAGAGGGGGAAAUGA